AAUAAAUUCUUAUAAUCCUCUCUUGUGUAGUUAGUCCUCAAAGGAAAGAAGUAAGCGGACUUAGUCAUUCUAUCCACAAUGACCAAAAUCGAAUCAUACUGAUUGCACAACCACAAAAGACUUAUAAUGAAAUCCAUAAUGGUUAACUCUUUGACCUUAGCUUUCCUUAACUCUGAAGGAGAAAAAAAUUCAAGAAAGGCCCUUGAAAAGUCAUCCC
rnacentral:lncRNA from 1 species